rnacentral:rRNA from 1 species
AGAGUUUGAUCCUGGCUCAGGAUGAACGCUAGCUACAGGCUUAACACAUGCAAGUCGAGGGGAAACGAUAGAGAAAGCUUGCUUUUUCUAGGCGUCGACCGGCGCACGGGUGAGUAACGCGUAUCCAACCUGCCCAUCACUUGGGGAUAACCUUGCGAAAGUAAGACUAAUACCCAAUGAUAUCUCUAGAAGACAUCUGAAGGAGAUUAAAGAUUUAUCGGUGAUGGAUGGGGAUGCGUCUGAUUAGCUUGUUGGCGGGGUAACGGCCCACCAAGGCGACGAUCAGUAGGGGUUCUGAGAGGAAGGUCCCCCACAUUGGAACUGAGACACGGUCCAAACUCCUACGGGAGGCAGCAGUGAGGAAUAUUGGUCAAUGGGCGAGAGCCUGAACCAGCCAAGUAGCGUGCAGGAUGACGGCCCUAUGGGUUGUAAACUGCUUUUAUAAGGGAAUAAAGUGAGCCUCGUGAGGCUUUUUGCAUGUACCUUAUGAAUAAGGACCGGCUAAUUCCGUGCCAGCAGCCGCGGUAAUACGGAAGGUCCGGGCGUUAUCCGGAUUUAUUGGGUUUAAAGGGAGCGUAGGCCGGAGAUUAAGCGUGUUGUGAAAUGUAGAUGCUCAACAUCUGCACUGCAGCGCGAACUGGUUUCCUUGAGUACGCACAAAGUGGGCGGAAUUCGUGGUGUAGCGGUGAAAUGCUUAGAUAUCACGAAGAACUCCGAUUGCGAAGGCAGCUCACUGGAGCGCAACUGACGCUGAAGCUCGAAAGUGCGGGUAUCGAACAGGAUUAGAUACCCUGGUAGUCCGCACGGUAAACGAUGGAUGCCCGCUGUUGGUCUGAAUAGGUCAGCGGCCAAGCGAAAGCAUUAAGCAUCCCACCUGGGGAGUACGCCGGCAACGGUGAAACUCAAAGGAAUUGACGGGGGCCCGCACAAGCGGAGGAACAUGUGGUUUAA